rnacentral:rRNA from 1 species
GACGAACGCUGGCGGCGUGCUUAACACAUGCAAGUCGAACGGAGUGGCGAACGGGUGAGUAACACGUGGGUGACCGGCGCUGACCUUCGGGAUAAGCCUGGGAAACUGGGUCUAAUACCGGAUAGAUUGGGAUGGGCCCGGGGCCUAUCAGCUUGUCGGUGGGGUAAUGGCCUACCAAGGCGGCGACGGGUAGCCGGGCUGAGGGGGUGGACGGCCACAUUGGGACGGAGAGAGGGCCCAGACGGCAACGGGGGGCAGCGGGGGGGAAUAUUGCACAAUGGGCGGAAGGCGGAUGCAGCGACGUCGCGUGGGGGAGGACGGCCUUCGGGUUGUAAACUCCUUUCACCUGCGACGCGGUAGAUGGAGAAGAAGCACCGGCUAACUACGUGCCAGCAGCCGCGGUAAUUC